AACCUUAUGGACCUGCGGGCGUAUACCUGCGGAGGGAUCAUUACAUUCAGUAGCCUAGCUACUUGUUUACACCCUUGUUUUUUUGCGCACUUCAUUGUAUCCCUCGGCGGGCUUGCUCGCCGGUUGGACAACAUUUAUAACCUUUUUUAAUCUUCAAUCAGCGUCUGAAUUAUAUUUAAUAAUUACAACUUUCAACAACGGAUCU
rnacentral:misc_RNA from 1 species